GCUACGGGAGGCAGCAGUGGGGAAUAUUGCACAAUGGGGGAAACCCUGAUGCAGCGACGCCGCGUGAGUGAAGAAGUAAUUCGUUACGUAAAGCUCUAUCAGCAGGGAAGAAAAUGACGGUACCUGAGUAAGAAGCCCCGGCUAACUACGUGCCAGCAGCCGCGGUAAUACGUAGGGGGCAAGCGUGAGCCGGAUUUACUGGGUGUAAAGGGAGCGUAGACGGUGCGCCAAGUCUGGAGUGAAAUGCCGCGGCUUACCUGCGGAACUGCUUUGGAAACUGGCGAACUAGAGUGCGGGAGGGGUAAGCGGAAUUCCUAUUGUAGCGGUGCAAUGCGUAGAUAUUAGGAGGAACACCGGUGGCG
rnacentral:rRNA from 1 species